GACGAACGCUGGCGGCGUGCCUAACACAUGCAAGUCGAGCGAGAACCAGACCUUCGGGUCUGGGACGAGCGGCGAACGGGUGAGUAACACGUGGGUAAUCAACCCUCGAUACUGGGAUAGCCCGGGGAAACCCGGAUUAAUACCGGAUGGCCCUUUGGAUCCUCGGAUCUGAAGGAAAAGGUAGCUUCGGCCUCCGAUCGAGGACGAGCCCGCGGCGGAUUAGCUUGUUGGUGGGGUAACGGCCUACCAAGGCUCCGACCGUAGCUGGUCUGAGAGGACGAUCAGCCACACUGGGACUGAGACACGGCCCAGACUCCUACGGGAGGCAGCAGUGGGGAAUCUUGUGCAAUGCGCGAAAGCGUGACGCAGCAACGCCGCGUGGGGG
rnacentral:rRNA from 1 species